rnacentral:rRNA from 1 species
UACGUAGGUGGCAAGCGUUGUCCGGAAUUACUGGGCGUAAAGCGCGCGCAGGCGGUCUUCCAAGUCAGUGGUGAAAGCCCGGAGCUCAACUCCGGAACUGCCAUUGAAACUGUGAGACUAGAGUACGAGAGAGGUGAGUGGAAUUCCCAGUGUAGAGGUGAAAUUCGUAGAUAUCAAGAGGAACACCUGAGGUGAAGACGGGUUGCUGGGCCGACACUGACGCUGAUAGCGCGGAAAGCCAGGGGAGCAAACGGG